rnacentral:snRNA from 1 species
AUCGCUUCUCGGCCUUUUGGCUAAGAUCAAGUGUAGUAUCUGUUCUUAUCAGUUUAGAACGGACUCACCAGUGGCUCUAUUACUACAAAAUUCAGGAAGGUGAGGAGUUCAGAGGCCCCCACCAGAACAGGUGGUUCCAGGAAUUUAUUCCUUUAUCUGUGAUCCAGGAAUUAAGAAGGUACUACCUGAACUACUGGCUCCCAA